rnacentral:rRNA from 1 species
AUUGAACGCUAGCGGGAUGCCUUACACAUGCAAGUCGAACGGAAUGGCGAACGGGUGCGUAAUGUUUAGGAAUGUGCCCAGUAGCGGGGGAUGACUACGCACAAUCGUAGCUAAUACCUCAUACCAUUGUAGCGGCUGAUAUCGGAUUAGCUAGUUGGUGGGGUAACGGCUCACCAAGGUGACGACCCAUAGCUGGUUUGAGAGGUAGACCAGCCACACUGGGACUGAGACACGGCCCAGACUCCUACGGGAGGCAGCAGUGGGGAAUUUUGGACAAUGGGGGAAAGCCUGAUCCAGCCAUCCCGCGUGUGUGAAGAAGGCCUUCGGAUUGUAAAGCACUGUUGGCAGGAAAGCGGUACCUGCAGAAUAAGCACCGGCUAACUACGUGCCAGCAGCCGCGGUAAUUC